GACGAACGCUGGCGGCAUGCCUAACACAUGCAAGUCUAGGGGUAGCAAUACCACUGGCGCACGGGUGAGUAACACGUAGGUUAUCUGCCCCCAUCACAGACAUAACCCCGGGAAACCGGGGCUAAUAUCUGAUGAGGUCGCGAGAUCAAAGCUUCGGCGGAUGGGGAUGAGCCUGCGGCUGAUUAGCUAGUUGGUGAGGUAAUGGCUCACCAAGGCGACGAUCAGUAGCUGGUCUGAGAGGACGAACAGCCACACUGGAACUGAGACACGGUCCAGACUCCUACGGGAGGCAGCAGUGAGGAAUAUUGGUCAAUGGGAGCAAUCCUGAACCAGCAAUGCCGCGUGUGGGAUGACAGGGCUUCGCCUUGUAAACCACUGUCGGACGGGACGAAAGGAGGCCUCGGGCCUCUGGGGCGGUACCGUCAAAGGAAGGGUCGGCUAACUACGUGCCAGCAGCCGCGGU
rnacentral:rRNA from 1 species